UACGUAGGGGGCAAGCGUUGUCCGGAUUUAUUAGGCGUAAAGAGCGUGUAGGCGGCCAUGUAGGUCCGUUGUGAAAACUCGAGGCUCAACCUCGAGACGCCGAUGGAAACCAUGUGGCUAGAGUCCGGAAGAGGAGAGUGGAAUUCCUGGUGUAGCGGUGAAAUGCGCAGAUAUCAGGAGGAACACCGGUGGCGAAGGGCGGGUCUCUGGGCCGAUACUGACGCUGAGGAGCGAAAGCGUGGGGAGCGAACAGG
rnacentral:rRNA from 1 species